rnacentral:lncRNA from 1 species
CUAUAUUCCCUGAAGACCUGUUGGAAGCCUGAUAAGGAAGAGAUGUGGGUGAUUGUGGCAGUUUUUUCAUCCAGUAAUAGGUCUUAACAUAAAAAUGGCCUAUCUUAUAUAACCUAAAAGGGGCUUAAUUGUAGAAGAGGCUCAGAAGUAAUGCGGAUUCAAAGGAGAACCAAAGCCUGCUUAUAACAAAAUUCAAACAGAGCUUACAUCCAAGGAUACAUACGUCUGAAACCUACAGGCCCAUGUACUCCGAUCCAUGCUCACAAAAACCAGCAUUCAACCCUCUCAUUCAACCUUUUAAGAGCAGGCUGACUUCUGGAUGAAACAAUCUCUAAUCUUAAAUGUGAUCUUGACACCCUCCAUUCUUGUUUGCUUCCCAUCCCAGACUCUGAUAAACAUGCUUUUAUUCUCUAUGCCCAUCCAUUUAAUUGUAUUGAUUUCAAGUUUAAUUGCUCUCAAAAAGUAUUUACAAAAAAUAUUUGUUUCUCUGUGCCUGGUUUAUUUUCCUUAACAUAAUAAUCUUCAGUUUUGUUCAUGUUGUUGCAAAUGACUGAGUCUUAUUGUUUUUUAUGGCUGACUCUAUUGUUUACAUGUACCACAUUUUCUUUGUCAGUUCAUCUGCUGAUGACCACAGGUUGCUCUCAAAUUUUAGCUAUUAUUGCAUAUCAUGCUGCAAUAAACACAGAAGUGCAGACCUCUAUUUUAUAUACUUUUUUUUCUUUUGGAUAUAUACUUAGAAGUGGGAUUUCUGGGUCAUAUGAUAGCUUAUUUUUAG